AAAGAAAACAAUGAUCACCUGCUGUUCAAAUGUGCUUUGGCCAGGUUUGUCUGGCAGGUGGUGAUGUGCGCCUUUGAUCUAAAAAGAACCCCUGAUGGGGUUGCUGAUUUAAUGGGAGAUUGGAUUCAGUCUUUCCCUAGGAAGUAUAUGAGGGUAGUCCUCAUUUGGGGGGUUACUAUAUGCUGGGUCAUAUGGAAGACCAAAAAUAGGGCGUGUUUUGAUAAGAUUUACCCUGAUGAUCCUACCUCUGUUGUAUAUAAACUAUGCUCUUUUCUGAAGUCUUGGAGUAUAUUGCAGAAAAAGCCAAAUAGAAACACAACUGAGAUGGGUGUGGCUCGUAUCAGGGAGGUGCUGCGAGAGGUGUUCUCGGGGAAGCGUGCCUGGAAUCCCGUGAGGAGAAGAAUAGGAGUUGGAUAA
rnacentral:rRNA from 1 species